UGGCUCAGGAUGAACGCUAGCGGCAGGCCUAAUACAUGCAAGUCGAACGGGAUUGAGAGCUUGCUUUCAUGAGAGUGGCGUACGGGUGCGUAACGCGUAUGCAACCUACCUUCAUCAGGGGGAUAGCCCGAAGAAAUUCGGAUUAACACCGCAUAAAAACACAGCUUGGCAUCAAGCAAUGUUCAAAUAUUUAUAGGAUGAAGAUGGGCAUGCGUGUCAUUAGCUAGUUGGUAAGGUAACGGCUUACCAAGGCUACGAUGACUAGGGGAUCUGAGAGGAUGACCCCCCACACUGGUACUGAGACACGGACCAGACUCCUACGGGAGGCAGCAGUAAGGAAUAUUGGUCAAUGGAGGCAACUCUGAACCAGCCAUGCCGCGUGCAGGAAGACUGCCUUAUGGGUUGUAAACUGCUUUUAUACGGGAAUAAACCUUAAUUCGUGAAUUAAGCUGAAUGUACCGUAAGAAUAAGGAUCGGCUAACUCCGUGCCAGCAGCCGCGGUAAUACGGAGGAUCCAAGCGUUAUCCGGAUUUAUUGGGUUUAAAGGGAGCGUAGGCGGCUUGUUAAGUCAGGGGUGAAAGACGGUGGCUCAACCAUCGCAGUGCCUUUGAUACUGACGAGCUUGAAUAUAGUUGAGGUAGGCGGAAUGUGACAAGUAGCGGUGAAAUGCAUAGAUAUGUCACAGAACACCGAUUGCGAAGGCAGCUUACUAAGCUAUUAUUGACGCUGAGGCUCGAAAGCGUGGGGAUCAAACAGGAUUAGAUACCCUGGUAGUCCACGCCCUAAACGAUGAUAACUCGAUGUUGGCGAUAUACAGUCAGCGUCCAA
rnacentral:rRNA from 1 species